UAAAAAUACAGUGAUGAUCAAUACCAAUCAUUUAUAGUUAAUACUGUGAAGUGUGUAAGAGAGUGUGUAUGGUUGCAGAGGUGCUCCCAAAGCAGAGAGGAAAGCCUUGAGGGAAAUGAUAGGGGCUGGUGUUGGGAGGGCAAGCAUGUGUGUGGGUCUGGGGGAUGAAAACAUGUGAGAAGAAAGAAUGUGUUACAGUGUGUGUGUGUGUGUGUGUGUGUGUGUGUGUGUGUGUGUGUGUGUGUGUGGUGUGUGUGUGUGUGUGUGUGUGUGUGUGUGUGUGUGUGUGUGUGUGUGACUGGAGUGAGGAGUAGGAUAAAAUUUACAGAGGAAGCUAAAAGACAUUUUGCAUUGGGAGUAAAUAAUCUGUGUGUGCUUCUUAUAGUGUUCAAAUUGUAGUUUUUGGUGUUCAUCUGAAAUGACAAUCAGGAGGAACAGUUGAAGAUUUUUGAAAUCUUAAGUGAUAAAUAAUGAAGAAUUCACUCCAAAGAAAAAGAACCUCCAGCUCAACUAUAACUGAAGCCAACAUACUUUCACAUGCUGCUCAAAUCAAUCCCAGGCCAGUGUGUUUGUCUCAGAUGAGCAGUGUUUUCUCCAGUGUGCCACCACUUUUUGGAACAGCACAAGCUUUCCUGUUGAGACUAGCCCAACUUGAAGCUCAGCUAGUUUUGAACCUGAUUAGUAAUGUUGCAUCUGGAAAUAAUAGAGGUUAUGGGAACCCUUUUGUUCCUUUAAAUCCCUUACAGCCUGUUGGCAUUCAAAGAUCCUCAUUUUUGAGCAUGUACCAGUGCCCAGGGGGGGUUAAAAUCAUGGAUUCCACACCUCACAUGGUUAGUCAUCCUGCAACAACAGUGGCAGAAAUUAAUUCAGUCUUUGCCAAUAAAGAGAGUGGUGCACUUGUGGCAAAAGAGAUUAUUCAGGAAAAACACUAGGUCCCAUCAUGAAUAAUACAACAUCUGAGGAAGCUCUUUUUACAUCCAGUCCCAACCCUCUAGGCAAACAUUUUGCCUUAAAACCACAUGUGGACUGUUCCCAAUACCAGUCGGUGACAGCCAAAGCAAUGAUACCCCCUGAUAGACCACAGAUUGAAGAAGCAGAGCCAAAGCAACAAACAAUGCUGCAGUAUCCAACAGAAAGUCUGAUCAAAGCUUUAACCAGCCUUGGCCUUUCUCUUGAGGAUCUAGAAUUACUCAGUCACUGCCCAGACAACCAGUUAACAACAGAGAAUCUCCCCUUCAUUAUACAAGACAUUCAACAGCGCAAAGGAACAAAUUACAUAAAAUAUGGCCAUGCUAGACAGAUCUCAUCUGAUCCAGUGGAAUCAUCCAGAGAGUCAUCAUAUACUCACGGGGAACAGAGGAAUCUGAGGAUUAUAAAUGGUGAAUGGCAAGAAUCCCAUUCCCAGAGAUCUCUCAGCCCUGAAAGAUGUCGCCCAUCUAAAGUCAUUAAUAAACACUUCUCGACCCAAUCUAGAACACUAAGAACAAGCCAUUCAUCAGGAAGAGGAUCAAAUUCCUUCCUAAAGAGGCUGCAACAUGGGCCUGCUGAGGACACCGGCUGGAGGCCUGGUUCAGUCUAUUUCCCCCCUCGAUCAAAACGCAGCAGAAGGCACAGCUUUGUCUCUCUAGACUGUAAUAAAGCAAUACAUUAUACUACACAAAGACCCUUGUCCUCUCCACACAGAUCCAACACUUACAACACCAUAACAAAAGGUCAUCAGCAGUCUUCAUUUCCAGUCAAAUCUGCAAAAUCAGAAGUAACCACUGAAUCCAUCAACAUUCAGAUGCCAGUAACUAAGACAACUGCAAAAACAUCAGCACAAACUAAGGGUGUGAUUCGUGUGUCUGGAAUCCCUCUUCAUUACUCUCAGAGUGAACUCAUCAAAAUGGCAUCGCCGUUUGGUCAAUCUGUUGAGGUUUUAAUGGCAACUGAGGUUUACACAACAACCUGUCUAGAAUGGAAGAAGGCUUUACUGAUGUUUCCAACUGAAUUCUCGGCCGAGGAGAUGGUGAAAGUUUACUCUGCUAUCCCAGUUCACAUGAGACAGCAAAGUUUGGAACUGGUGUCCCAAACUGUUGACUUUAGUUCACCUGUGUCAGUGUUUCAUGCUUUUGUGGGGUCAUCAUUGUCAAAUGGGCUGCUGACACCUUUGGACCAUUUGCUGGUUGUAUGUAAUGUUCCCAAUCAGCCCAGUGCUGCUACAGGAGUGCUACGGCUGCUAAAGCCUUUUGGACAAGUUUUCAGAGCUCUUGUACUUCAUGGAAACAAGGUGGAUGUUGAUCAGUGCCUUGGGAACAAUAGCAGCAUGCAGAUGGUUUUAGAGAUGGAAUCCGCUUCUGUUGCUUUAUCUGUAUAUGAGUGGUCUCAAAAAAUUCCUUGUGUUUAUCACAACCAUCAUCUGUCUUUCCUCAGAGGAUGCCAUGUACAGAAAAACACAUCUGAGGUCCAUUCAGCCUAAUAUCCUCACAGUUUUAUCCCCUUAAAUAUUGUAUAUUUUCAUUAUCUUUGUAAUAAAAUACAAUGAAACUAGGUCAUAAGAAGUAUUAUUGUUUGUCUUUCUCCUUUUAUAAAAUUAUAUAUUUAUUGAGCAGCAAAAGUUAACGAUUAAAAAUAAUAAAUAUAAACUACAAUCACUACAAUACUCUUGGUAAUGGAAAUCCUGAAAAUAUCAGGGAAUUUAAAAGUCUGGAAUAUUUAGUUAGGCUAUACCAAAGUCCCUUUAAGCUAUUUUAUAUUAUAUUUUAAGAUAAGGUAUUCUAUAGUCUUUGGCUAUACUUAAAUCGAGUAAUAACAAUUAACUUGAAAAGUCAUGGAAAGGUCAUUUGGAAUGCAUGGGUCAAAACUGAUUCAAUUUCAGCUCAACAGAUGUUCUGAAAAUUAUAUAUUGUACAUUAAAUUAUAUAACAUGGUUGUGAUUUUAAUUGUUAGAUACUGCUAAAAAGGUCAAGCUCACUGAGGUGACAAACCCAAGUCAUAUUUUAAGAGAGUUAAUUCAUUGGAAAGCUUACUCAUUCAGCUUUUAGGUGAUUUAAGUUAUAAAUCUCAGUUUAAAAAAAUUACGCUUAUGACUGGUUUUGUGGUCCUGGGUUACAUUUACUCAUCCUAGCUGUUCCAAACCUGUUGAAAACGAAAGAAAAUAUAUUGUUUGACUGGUUAUUUUCGAUUACACGUAAAGAACAGAGCAAGCAAUCUAACAUCAAAAGUAAUCGUUCCCUGACCGGGAAUCGAACCCGGGCCGCGGCGGUGAGAGCGCCGAAUCCUAACCACUAGACCACCAGGGAGCGCUGAGCUAAUACAGAUGAAUAUAGCAGUAGACAAAUCACGACUCAAAAUUCAAAAUUACAUUAAUGUUGCUAAUUUAACCAUGCAACCUGUGACGUAGCAUUUUGCUGUUUAUCAUGUAAUCAUACUUUUUUGUUUCACAUAUUGUAAUUAGUAGUCAAUAUAUAGUAGAUCUACAGCUUGUGGAGUAAGUUAUCCAGCAGGGAGUCCUUGUUCUUUACCUAAAAUGCUGUAAAUGAGUGUCUUUGUACUCUUUUUUUUUUUAACCACUUAGGUUGUUCUAUAUUAAACAUUUGAGUGUGUUAUAUUAGAUCCAAAUCUGGGUUAAUGACACCUCAUGAAGCUUUAUGCAAACUAUGUCAGCGCAUCUGUCCAAAUAAAACAAGCAUGUUCUUACAUUUGAUUUUUUGUCAGCGCUUGUGCAUUGAUGCUCUAAUUUUCCUAUCCAAGCCACCUUCAAGUACAGGCAAAGAGAUGUGUUUUGGCGUAAAACCAAGUAUUUUUCUACUGAAUUUGCAUGCAGUAAAUCCCUCCCGAAUGUACCUUUGAAAAAAAAAACAGAAAUCAUAUAUUAAAUCAUGUAUUAAUAAUUACUAAUAUAUGUAAUAAUACGCACUAAUAUGUGUUUUUUUAAAAGGAGAGAACAAGAAACUGACCAAUUACGAAUAUAGUAUAUAUAUAUAUAUAUAUAUAUAUAUCCUGAAUGAAUGCGAAUGGAUCUAGCUUUCUAAAAUUACGCGAAAGAGGUAAAUGCAUGUUUGAAUUCACUUUAAGAGCAUGCUACAGUUUCCUGGCCAUUUUGCAAUCAUCUUUUGAAAUACCGUGAUGACCCUCAGGAGGCGCCAGCGACAUGUUUGUUUGAAAGGCCCACAUGAGCGCUCUGACGUAGGGUUAAAAUCUAGCCAGGUAACGGUGUCGCUGCAAACAGGAAAAUUACCUCUUUUAGUCGAUUUAUUUGGCGAUAGAUUAGAGGGACAGAAGCGUUACAAUGCCGGGUAAGUCCUCUUAACAGCCCACGUCUCCUAAAGGUGUCAUGUUUAAUCUUUUGACUUUGUAAGUGCAGUGUGCUGGUCUCACUCUUUGUUUUGUAAAAUGGUAGCCAUCGCUGAAUGCGUAAAGUAGCGACACAGAAACAAAUCGACACGUUUAGCGUGCAAUAUAAAGCAUAUUACGCCGUUGUAGGCUCACUUGGCAGAGUUCGCGUAAAGCGCAGUGUAGAUGGAGGCCUAGUGAGAUGUGUGGAUAACUCACUCACUCACUCACUCACUCACGCAUUCACCAUGCUCCCUCAUUUACUUCACGAAAUCCUGUAAAACCUAACUAUUUCAAACAACUGGCGUCCGUGUUUGCUUCAGGAGCAUUCAAAUAACAUUUAAACGUUGCUCGGCAAGGCCAGGCAACAUUUUUUCACGUGGACUGCUGUUGCUGUUGCGGCUCGAGCUAACACGCAUAGCUUCGCAAUACACGUUCACAAACGUAAAGUUAGAUCAAGUGUUUUAUUCGAACGUAGGGCACAUCUUGCAGCAAAAAAAAUUGUCUUUUUGAUGGGAGACUUCUUAAAACGGUUUAUACUAUAGAUAGUUUUCUCUGGAGCCUUAGCCAGGCCUCAUGUUACAAUGAAUCAAAUCCAUGUGGAGAAAGAUGGUGUCGACUGACCUCCUCUUUGUCUCGUUUAUGCAACACACCGAUAGUUAGUAACAGGUAGUUAUAUAAUGUUCUUUAAACCAUGCGUGUUACUCACUGUGUCGGGUCGCGGGUAUUAGAAGAGCUUAAUAAACAUUUAUUGCGCCUUCGUUUUGUAAUAUCGAACGUCUAAUUUGCUGGCAAGUUUUGUAUUUAUGCGCGAACACACUCUUAAACACAGAGUGGCUCAUCAUUCUUACUGUGACAACACUGACUUAAAUUUGUGUAUGUUCUAUGGCUUUUAAAUUUGAAUUGUUCAUGUGCACAUUAAUGAGUGAAGUUUUACUGAUGUGUAUAAUCUAAACUAAUUGUAUCCAGUGCCCCAUAAAUAUUUAUGUUCGUUGGUUUUAGUUUUAUGUGUGUGUUUGAGGUACUAUGUACUGAGAAUGGGAUCAGUAUUAGUAUUAAUA
rnacentral:lncRNA from 1 species